UCUCUCUCUUUUCUCUCCCUCUCUUCUCUAGGGUUUCUACAGUCACUGGCGCUGCCGAUCGAUUAAAGAGCUCUUGGAGAUCCUCCAUCACGGUUGAGGACAUCCAAAUAGAGUGGAAUAUCAUUCAAUAUGGCGAUGGAAGUCACCCAGAUACUAUUGAAUGCACAAUCAGUUGAUGGCACCAUUCGCAAGCAAGCAGAAGAAAGCUUGAAGCAAUUUCUGGAACAGAAUCUUCCCAUAUUCUUGUUAUCUCUUUCCAGGGAAUUAGCAAACAAUGACAAGCCUGUUGAUAGUCGCAAGUUAGCUGGCUUGAUACUUAAAAAUGCACUAGAUGCUAAGGAGCAACACAGGAAAAAUGAGUUGACACAAAGAUGGUUGAGUUUAGAUAUGGCUAUUAAGACCCAGAUCAAAGGAUGCCUGCUGCAGACCCUCUCUUCUCCUGUUCCAGAUGCGAGGUCCACUGCAUCCCAGGUUAUUGCCAAGAUCGCAGGCAUUGAACUUCCCCAUAAUCAGUGGCCUGAACUUAUAGGUUCUUUAUUGUCAAAUAUUCACCAACUUAAGCCUCAUGAGAAGCAAGCAACUUUGGAAACUCUUGGUUAUAUGUGUGAGGAAGUGUCUCCUGAUGUUGUCGAUCAGGACCAAGUGAACAGGAUUCUAACUGCAGUUGUCCAGGGCAUGAAUGCGUCUGAAGGGAACUCUGAUGUGAGGUUGGCUGCUACAAAAGCAUUGUAUAACGCACUGGGAUUUGCCCAUGUAAAUUUUACAAAUGACAUGGAGCGUGACUACAUCAUGAGAGUUGUUUGUGAAGCAACUCUGUCACCAGACCUAAAGAUACGACAGGCAGCAUUUGAGUGUUUGGUGGCCAUCUCAUCCACUUACUAUGAGAAACUUGCAGCAUACAUGCAGGACAUAUUCAGUAUCACAGCAAAAGCAGUGAGAGAAGAUGAGGAGCCUGUUGCUCUUCAGGCGAUAGAGUUUUGGAGUUCAAUCUGUGAUGAAGAGAUUGACAUCUUAGAUGAGUAUGGUACUGAUUUUUCAGCUGAUUCAGAGGUUCACUGCUUUUACUUUAUUAAGCAGGCAUUGCCUGCCUUGGUCCCUAUGCUGUUGGAGACACUACUGAAGCAGGAAGAAGACCAAGAUCUGGAUGAAGGGGCUUGGAAUAUUGCAAUGGCUGGUGGAACGUGUUUGGGAUUGGUUGCACGUACUGUAGGAGAUGACAUAGUUCCUCUUGUGAUGCCUUUUAUUCAAGAAAAUAUAACAAAACCAGAUUGGAGGCAAAGAGAGGCAGCGACUUAUGCUUUUGGUUCAAUUUUGGAGGGUCCAUCACCAGACAAGCUCACUCCUGUUGUCAAUGUUGCACUGAACUUUAUGCUUACUGCAUUGAUUAAGGAUCCAAACAACCACGUCAAGGACACAGCUGCAUGGACUUUGGGGAGAAUUUUUGAGUUCCUUCACGGUUCUGCCAUGGAGACACCUAUAAUAACCCACGAGAACUGUCAACAGAUCCUCUCCGUACUUCUCCAGAGCAUGAAAGAUGUUCCCAAUGUCGCUGAGAAAGCUUGUGGGGCUCUCUAUUUCCUGGCUCAAGGUUUUGAGGAUGCAAGUUCUUCAUCCUCCCCUUUGCCCCCCUUCUUUCAGGAAAUAAUUCAGGCUCUCCUCACUGUGACCCGCAGAGAAGAUGCUGGAGAGUCUCGCCUCCGAACGGCGGCGUAUGAAACUUUGAAUGAGGUGGUGCGGUGUUCAACCGAUGAGACAGCUCUGACAGUGAUGCAAUUGGCUCCUGUUAUCAUGUUGGAGCUCCAUAAAACUCUUGAAAUGCAGAAGCUUUCCUCUGAGGAGAGGGAGAAGCAGAAUGAACUGCAGGGCCUUCUUUGUGGUUGCUUGCAGGUCCUUAUCCAAAAGCUGGGGGCAGCAGAACCAACAAAGUAUGUCUUUAUGCAGUAUGCAGACCAGAUAAUGGAUCUGUUUCUGAGGGUUUUUGCUUCCCGAAAUGCCACGGUGCAUGAAGAAGCUAUGCUUGCUAUUGGUGCUUUGGCAUAUGCUACUGGGCCAAAUUUUGUGAAGUACAUGCAAGGGUUUUAUCCCUAUCUGGAGAUGGGUCUUCAGAAUUUUGAGGAGUACCAGGUCUGUGCAAUCACUGUUGGUGUGGUUGGUGACUUAUGCAGGGCAUUGGAAGAUAAGAUACUGCCUUUUUGUGAUGGGAUUAUGACUCAGCUUCUCAAGGACCUUUCCAGCAAUCAGUUGCACCGUUCUGUUAAGCCUCCUAUUUUUUCAUGCUUUGGUGAUAUAGCAUUGGCUAUAGGGGAGAACUUUGAGAAGUACUUGAUCUAUGCAAUGCCUAUGCUCCAGAGUGCUGCAGAGCUAUCAGUACAUGUUUCAUCUGCGGAUGAUGAAAUGAUAGAGUACACCAAUCAGCUGAGGAAUGGAAUUUUGGAAGCCUACUCUGGAGUGUUCCAAGGAUUCAAAAGCUCCUUAAAGACCCAGCUUCUGUUGCCAUAUGCCCCUGUCGUCCUUCAGUUCCUUGAUAGUUUGUACAAGGAAAAGGAUAUGGAUGAUGCUGUUAUGAAGACUGCCAUUGGAGUCCUGGGAGACUUGGCUGAUACCCUCGGUAGUAAUGCCAGCGCUUUGAUAAACCAAUCUGUUUCAAGCAAAGACUUUUUGGAAGAAUGCUUAUCAUCAGAUGAUCAUUUAAUUAAAGAAUCUGCUGAAUGGGCUAAAUUAGCCAUCAGCCGUGCUAUUUCUGGUUGAUGUUCUUGGUGGCUCAAUCAGAGUCUCUUCAUAUGCAUGUUGGUUGUGUCAGUCAGGGAGUCUUGCUGCUAACUCAUGCAUCUGCUCCAUGGAGUCAGGUCAGGUUCCGGUUUUUCGUGUCCUCAAAGAGGUGGGAUGGUUUCUCAUCUUGUUCUUGCCAUCGGAGUAGUUCUUGAGGUACUUAUCUUUGUUCUCUUGGAAUUCUGUAAUGUUCUUGCAUUAUUUCCCUGGUCCACUUUGCCAGUCAGUGUGCAUUAUACGUUUUUUUUUCUUUUUCUUCUUUUUCUUUUUCCUGUAUACUUUUUGAUGGAGAGUCGCUCCAUAGGGGCUACCAUAUAUGAAGUGCAUUUGGAUGUAAUCAGUUUAUAAGGGUUACCUAAGUAAUGCAUAAUUUUUCUCAUGCUUCA